GAAGACUUCAGAUAUGAUCCAGAGUACCACGGGACACGUGAAACCCUGUGGGAAGCAGGAGGGACCACCCUCCAAGGCUAAAUACUACCUAGUGACCGAUAGCGUAUAGUACCGUGAGGGAAAGGUGAAAAGAACCCCGGGAGGGGAGUGAAAUAGAACCUGAAACCCUGCACUUACAAGCUGUGGAAGCACAUUUCUUGUGUGACCGCGUACUUUUUGUAGAACGGGCCAACGAGUUACGUUAAGUAGCAAGGUUAAGCACUUAAGGUGGGAGCCGUAGCGAAAGCGAGUUUUAACUGAGCGUUCAGUUACUUGACGUAGACCCGAAACCGGGCGACCUACCCAUGAGCAGGAUGAAGCGAAAGUAAAAUUUCGUGGAGGUCCGAACCCACGAGCGUUGAAAAGCUCGGGGAUGACUUGUGGGUAGCGGUGAAAUUCCAAUCGAGCCCGGAGAUAGCUGGUUCUCCCCGAAAUAGCUUUAGGGCUAGCCUCAAGGUGAGAGAUACGGAGGUAGAGCACUGAAUGUCCUAGGGGGUAUUGCACCUACCGAAGACUAUCAAACUCCGAAUGCCGUCAUCUUAUACUUGGGAGUCAGACUGUGGGUGAUAAGAUUCAUAGUCGAAAGGGCAACAGCCCAGAUCGUCAGCUAAGGUCCCUAAAUGUAAGUUAAGUGGUAAAGGAUGUGGGAUUGCACAGACAACCAGGAUGUUGGCUUAGAAGCAGCCACUCAUUCAAAGAGUGCGUAAUAGCUCACUGGUCGAGUGAUCCUGCGCCGAAGAUUUCCGGGGCUAAAACUUACUACCGAAGCUACGGCAUCAGUAAUGAUGGGUAGGGGAGCUUCCCAUACGGGUUGAAGCAUGACCGUAAGGACAUGUGGACAGUAUGGGAGUGAGAAUGUUGGCAUGAGUAGCGAGAUGUGGGUGAGAAUCCCACAGGCCGUAAACCCAAGGUUUCCAGGGGAAGGUUCGUCCGCCCUGGGUUAGUCGGGACCUAAGCUGAGGCCGAAAGGCGUAGGUGAUGGACAACAGGUUGAUAUUCCUGUACUACCGAUAACCAUUUGAGAGAAGGGAUGACACAGUAGGAUAAGCUAAGCACACUGUUGGUUAUGUGUGCCCAAGCAUUGAGGCAGUCAAAGUAGGCAAAUCCGCUUUGAUAAUGCUGGGAUGUGAUGGGGAGCGAAAUUUAGUAGCGAAGUAGCUGAUUUCACACUGUCAAGAAAAGUCUCUAUCGAGGUUAAAGGUACCCGUACCGCAAACCGACACAGGUGGGUGAGGAGAGUAUCCUAAGGCCAGCGAGAGAACUGUUGUUAAGGAACUCGGCAAAAUGACCCCGUAACUUAGGGAUAAGGGGUGCCACCAUCCGGUGGCCGCAGAGAAUAGGCCCAAGCGACUGUUUACCAAAAACAUAGGUUUCUGCUAAGUCGCAAGACGAUGUAUAGGAGCUGACGCCUGCCCGGUGCUGGAAGGUUAAGGGGAUCUGUUAGAGCAAUCGAAGCAGUGAACUUAAGCCCCAGUAAACGGCGGCCGUAACUAUAACGGUCCUAAGGUAGCGAAAUUCCUUGUCGGGUAAGUUCCGACCCGCACGAAAGGCGUAACGAUUUGGGCACUGUCUCAACAAUAGACUCGGUGAAAUUGUAAUUCCGGUGAAGAUGCCGGAUACCUGCGACAGGACGGAAAGACCCCAUGGAGCUUUACUGUAGCUUGACAUUGGGUCUUGGUACUACAUGUACAGGAUAGGUGGGAGGCUUUGAAACCAGGACGCCAGUUUUGGCGGAGCCAUCCUUGGGAUACCACCCUUGUAGUACUGGGACUCUAACCAUAGGCCAUGAAUCUGGUCUUGGGACACUGUCAGGUGGGCAGUUUGACUGGGGCGGUCGCCUCCCAAAAGGUAACGGAGGCGCUCAAAGGUUCUCUCAGUACGGUCGGAAAUCGUACGUAGAGUGUAAAGGCAAAAGAGAGCUUGAUUGCAAGACAUACAGGUCGAGCAAGGAUGGAAAUCGGACUUAGUGAUCCGGUGGUUCUGCGUGGAAGGGCCAUCGCUCAACGGAUAAAAGCUACCCUGGGGAUAACAGGCUUAUCUCCCCCAAGAGUCCACAUCGACGGGGAGGUUUGGCACCUCGAUGUCGGCUCAUCACAUCCUGGGGCUGUAGUAGGUCCCAAGGGUUGGGCUGUUCGCCCAUUAAAGUGGUACGCGAGCUGGGUUCAGAACGUCGUGAGACAGUUCGGUCCCUAUCCGUCGCAGGCGUAGGAAAUUUGAGAAGACCUGUCCUUAGUACGAGAGGACCGGGAUGGACGUACCUCUGGUGUACCAGUUGUUCUGCCAAGGGCAUGGCUGGGUAGCUAUGUACGGAAUGGAUAAGCGCUGAAAGCAUCUAAGCGCGAAGCCAACUUCAAGAUAAGAUUUCCCACCGUAAGGGUAAGACCCCAGAAAGACUAUCUGGUUGAUAGGUCGAAGGUGUAAGUGCAGCAAUGUAUUUAGCUUAUCGAUACUAAUAGGUCGAGGACUUGACCAA
rnacentral:rRNA from 1 species